rnacentral:lncRNA from 1 species
CACCUUUUCUCUAAGAUUUGACAGCAUACUUAUUUUGACCAUUUGACAAAAAUACAAAAUUUAUAAAAAUUUGAACUUUGCCUGAAAAAUAUCUUUAUAUACAAAGUAAUUUGGAAAACAUUAAUUUUUAUCAUUGAGAGGCUUAUCAAUAGGUUGUGUUUAAACAUUCAGCUGAUUUUACAGAGUUAUCUCCCUGUAGUGUUAUGUACUGCGCAUGGAAAUUUGAACAGGCCACAAAAAGUAGCGUAAAAAAUAACCAAUAUUGAUCUGUUUACUGUGCUUAUCCAGUGACCUUUGGGGUAUCACAUUAGCAAAGACCAAAACAGUUUACCAAAUUGCAGUCAGAUUUCUACUCCAACUAACUGAUCAACUGGUAAAAUAUUUUAGCAGAUUGCUCAAGUGAAAUGUUGUUAGUAUGAAGUGAGUGCUGUAAAAUAAAAAGUUAUACUUACCAUCCAGAUCCAGUCAGUUGAUA